rnacentral:sRNA from 3 species
AGGUAUUUGAGUAUAUGGGGAUGAUGAGCAGACAUUCAAUGUUCAGCGGGCGAGAAAUAGUAAAGGGGAAACGAAUUUCCCCUUUUUUAACUAUCU